AAUACGAAGGGGGCUAGCGUUGCUCGGAAUUACUGGGCGUAAAGGGCGCGUAGGCGGCACUGUUAGUCAGGCGUGAAAGUCCUGGGCUCAACCUGGGAACUGCGCUUGAUACGGCAGAGCUAGAGGAUGGAAGAGGCUCGCGGAAUUCCCAGUGUAGAGGUGAAAUUCGUAGAUAUUGGGAAGAACACCGGUGGCGAAGGCGGCGAGCUGGUCCAUUACUGACGCUGAGGCGCGACAGCGUGGGGAGCAAACA
rnacentral:rRNA from 1 species